rnacentral:rRNA from 1 species
CUGGCUCAGGAUGAACGCUAGCUACAGGCUUAACACAUGCAAGUCGAGGGGUAGCAGGGUAGCAAUACCGCUGACGACCGGCGCACGGGUGAGUAACACGUAUCCAACCUUCCCAUAACUCAGGGAUAGCCUUUCGAAAGAAAGAUUAAUACCUGAUAGUACUUUUUCAAGGCAUCUUGAAAAAAGUUAAAGAUUUAUUGGUUAUGGAUGGGGAUGCGUUCCAUUAGAUAGUUGGUGAGGUAACGGCUCACCAAGUCUUCGAUGGAUAGGGGUUCUGAGAGGAAGGUCCCCCACAUUGGUACUGAGACACGGACCAAACUCCUACGGGAGGCAGCAGUGAGGAAUAUUGGUCAAUGGGCGAGAGCCUGAACCAGCCAAGUAGCGUGAAAAGGAUGAAGGUCCUAUGGAUUGUAAACUUCUUUUAUAGUAGAAUAAAGUGAGCCACGUGUGGUUUUUUGUAUGUAUACUAUGAAUAAGGAUCGGCUAACUCCGUGCCAGCCGCCGC